rnacentral:sRNA from 1 species
GACCUCUGCAGGACUGGACUCUGGGAAGGACCCUACCUCCAGGACUCGCCCACAAGAAGAACUGUGAAAGAGCUCCGGAGAAGGAUGAAAACUUUAAGGAACAAUGAAGGAGAGAGGUGCCGCUCUGAACCGGACUAAGGUGCAGAACUGGAGUGAGUUGUUGUCCCCCAACCCCCGAAUUGGAACACUGCACUGAAUAAAAGCUUAAGACACAAA